rnacentral:lncRNA from 1 species
CUCUAUGACACUUUUUAGCCCACAAUGCUAAUUUUUGGAUUCAACUUUGGAUGUAUGAUAUCAAGUGCUCAAGUGCACCUUUUUUUUUUUUUUUUUAAGUCUUAAAAAGAAUAGCCACUUUGUCCAGGCAGGCAGAGUGGUGGGAAAGAGGCCUCUGUCAUGACAGAGGGCAGAAGGUGGCUGGGUACUCACGAACCAGCUUCGGAAGUCACUGGGGAAGAAUACUGAGCUAGGUUAUUGAUUCAGUAAAAGCCACAAGACAAGUCCGUGGCCCCGAGUUGGACUAGCAGUUUUCACCACAUAAGGUCUGUAAUGUUCUCUGAUGUCCUUAUGAUGAAUCAGCUCCUAAGCCACAAGGAUAAGUCCUUGAGGUUGACACUAUCUCAGAGGCGAUGCUGUGCUCUGUCUAAAGGGUGCUUCUUAGGCCUUUGCCCAAGUCCAGAAAGUUCCUGUCAGCCACAAGAACCUUGAGCUCCUUAGUGGGCACUCAAACAGUGUCUAAAGAUCGGUUAUUAUUGUAGUUGAUGUUCAUUCAAGAGUCGGAGGGCUUACAAGGAGCCUUUGAAUUAGUCGUAGAGCUUCCCUCACUUGGAUGCAGACAGCUCCUAAGCAGUCCACAUCUUUCUCAGUAGAUACUCUGAAAAAUGAAAUGCCCCUCUCUAGGUUGAUGGUCUUUUUUUUUUAAAAGAAAGAGUUACAGUGUGUGUGUGUGUGUGUGUGUUCUGACACACCAGAAGAAGGAGUCAAAUCCCAUUACAGAUGGUUGUGAACCACCAUAUGGUUGCUGGGAAUUGAACUCAAGAAGUCUGGAAGAAUAGCCCAUGCUCUUAACUGCUGAGCCAUCUCUCAAGACCCUAGGUUGAUGGUCUUAAUUGAUGUGACUUCAUGCUAAGACACCGGUUUGUCCCAUACAGUCCUGGAUGGACUUCAACCCCUAGUCUCCGCUCAGGCAGGGACCAAACUGGAUAUUUUUAGAUGUGUCCUAGCAUACCUUUGCUGUCUCUGAACACAACAUGUCUUUUGAUAAAUAGCAUCUCUCUAAGUCCCACUUUAUAGAAAUUUUGCUGUCUGAAGCAUCGUGUUAUAGUAACAAAAGAAAAUCAAACUCUGCAGAGUCUGGCCCUGGGUAAAAUCAUAAUGUACAUUGUUUGUUCCCAGCACCACCCCCUUCCUCUCCCUGGCAUACCUUCAAAGCAAUUUGACAAAUAUUGUUUGUCUGCCAGUUGUAAGUACCUACGCCAGCUCCUUGGGAUAUAAACAGUUUGCACAUGAUAUAGUAGGGAAAGGAGACAUAUGAAACCAAUUCUAAUAGAAGCCAGAUUCUGUCAAGUGCUAAUAAUAGCUAACAUUGAUUAUUAUGUGCCAGAUGUUAUAAUGGCUCCUAUAUGUUGUCUCAUAUAAUCUUCACAGCAACUCUUUGGUAUUGAUUUAUGCAUGUCACAGUAACAGGAGGAAGUUGCUUAGUCAAAGUCACACAACUGGUAAGAGGCAGAGGGGACAUUUUUGACUAUGUGGUCAGUCUGCAAAGCUUGAACUAACAAACGAGUCCUUCCUCCUGAGAGCCACUAGGUCAGUCCAAAGACCGUGAGUGCCACGAGGAACACAACUCAAAGAGUGGGCUGCUUUCAGCUGGACUUAGAAAGAUAAGUGAAUUGCAGUGCCCACAGAAAGCCCCUCCCUUCCCCAGACAACAGCGCCAGAGGAACAUUUCUUGCUAAAGCUGCAGCCCGGACUGAAGGGUGAAAAACUCCUCUCCACGGCUCUGAGCAGGAUCUAUCUGCAUCUCAUCCGGUAGAUUUAAAGGCAGAAUUGCAGACUAGAGUCUUGACCAUGGGUUUGGGAUUACCAAUCAUGCAAUUAAAUACACAUUUACAGAAUGACCAGCUGCGCGUUAAAUGAUUUCCUUAACCUUGACUUCUCUGCAUAGUAAUAGAGUAAGUGCUGAGCUGUAUCUGGCAGCAUGAGUUUGUAUUGCUUCUCAUUGGCUAAAGCACCUUUACAGAGUCUUUCUCUCCCCACGAGGUGUUCCGGUUGCUUCUCUGCUCUGUCAUCAGUAGUCGUGACCAAGGAAUGAGUGUUUAAUUCAGGUGUGCUGGCUGGCUCAGCCUGUAUAGGGUGAUGACAAGGCCUGUGGAGAAUUAUGUAGAGCUUAUUCCUUCAAAUAUUUGGGGGAAAGUCCAAAACCAAGAGUAGCCCUUGUGGUGAAGACUCAUCAGACAUUUUGAUGAUUUGACAGAGAAAAGAGGGAAGGCAUGAGCUUUGUUUACGUCACGUGUAUGUGCAUGUGUGUGUGUGUCUUUGUCUGUGUGUGCAUGCUUGUAAGUGUGUCUCUCUCUGUGUGUAUAUUUCUGGGACUGCGUUUCUCAGACUUUAGACACAAGCAUCAUUGAAGAUCUUAAUUUUCAGAGUCUCCUUCAGAAGCGCUGGGGUAAAGCUGAGGUCCUGCAGUUCUUCCACGGGCCGAGUGGUGAUUGGACGCCACCACCACCCUGACUGGCAGUGCUACAAGGCCGUGCAUGUCUUAGUCUGUUUAUUUUGGUACCAGUAGAUCAUACCCUCUCUGAGCUGCCAUGUAAUUCACUAUGCCAUUGCUGAAUAACAGGAAGCCUGAUUCACUUAUAGGCAAAGAAAAAUUCAUUCCCUACAACCUGAGUUUCCAGCCUCUAGUUUGCCAUGAUCUAGGACCAAGUGUGUACCUUCAGCACACAACUCACUGCAGAACAGAAAGCCCUUCUGUUAGGGUUCUUCAAUAUUUUCACUUUGAAAAAGAUUUAUUACAUCUAAGGAUGAUUACGUGUGUGUUUGUGUAGGUGUGUGCACGUGAGCAUAGAUGCCUAUAGAUGCCAGAGGCAUUGGAUCCCCUGGAGCUGAAAGUCCAGGUGGGUGUGAGCCACUGACACAGGUGCUGGGAGUGGAACUCAGAUCCUCUCCAAGAACAGCUCCU